rnacentral:tRNA from 1 species
ACCUGGGUGGCUCAGUCGGUUAAGCCUCUGACUUCAGCUCAAGUCAUCAUCUCACAGUUUGUGGGUUCGAGUCCCACAUCAGGCU